CACACUUAUUCACAUUCAUAUUCAGAUCUCUCUCUUCAUCAAAUCUCUCUCUCAUCAUUAUCUUUUUUUCCCACCACACCACCAUCACCACCGCACCACCACCAUCAUCACCACCAUCAAUAUUGUACCUCCGGCACCACCGUAAACACCUCCAACCCUGUUGCUCAACCCCCACCACCGUUGCACCUUUACCACCGUCGGCCGACCCCCGCUGCACAACCCCCACCACUGCCCCUCCAAAAUACCCUAGUGAGUCAAGAAGAUGAUGAAACAGCAGAAUGUGAUUCUGAAGAUGAUUUGAGUUCUGCAUCUGAUCUUCAUGCAACUACUGUUAAUUCUUGCUCUGAGAAUAAAGGUCAAGAAAAUGGAAGCAGUUAUAAUCCAAAUUAUCAAAAUUACUUUGCUCAUCCUCCUCCAAAUCAAACUCAACCACUAAUCAAGAAAAAAAGAAGUCUUCCAGGCAACCCAGGCUGGUGAUGGAUUCAAGGGAAAUAAGAUCCAAUUCUCGGGACCGUUGGAAAGCUAAGGCAACAAAGGUAGCCGCUGAAAAGCUAAGGCAGACUUUCAAAGGAAGCUCCACCAUUUUCUUAGUGCUAUGUAUUUUUGUUUACUAGUAAUAUGUAAUGUGAGACUCUUCUUGUUUUCUCUAGUACACGAUGUUAAAACCGUCUAGACUUAACACAUUUUCUGUUGGAGGCGCCCAUAUUUGUACCUUUACUGUUACAGUUACUAUUGAAGUUUAUGCAUCCAUUCUAGAAGUCUUAA